GGAGGCGCCGGGGUGAUGGCGGUGGAGACUCUGUCCCCGGACUGGGAGUUUGACCGCGUUGACGACGGCUCGCAGACUUUUGCCUUAUGAACAGUCCUCUCUUUUGGAACUCAUAAAGACUGAAAACAAGGUCUUAAACAAAGUCAUCACUGUUUAUGCUGCACUUUGUUGUGAAAUCAAGAAAUUAAAAUAUGAGGCUGAAACUAAAUUUUACAAUGGUCUCUUGUUUUAUGGAGAAGGAGCUACAGAUGCCAGCAUGGUGGAAGGUGAUUGCCAAAUUCAAAUGGGGAGAUUUAUUUCAUUCUUACAGGAACUGUCUUGCUUUGUUACGAGGUGCUAUGAAGUGGUGAUGAACGUAGUCCACCAGUUGGCUGCCCUCUAUAUCAGUAACAAGAUUGCACCCAAAAUUAUAGAGACAACUGGAGUUCAUUUUCAGGUUUUUUGACAGACUAUGUAUGAGCACUUGGGAGAACUGCUAACAGUUUUGCUCACCCUGGAUGAAAUUAUUGAUAAUCAUAUCACACUGAAAGACCACUGGACUAUGUACAAAAGGUUACUGAAAUCUGUCCAUCACAAUCCUUCAAAAUUUGGAAUUCAGGAAGAAAAAUUAAAGCCAUUUGAAAAGUUCUUGCUGAAGCUAGAAGGGCAAUUACUGGAUGGAAUGAUAUUCCAGGCCUGUAUAGAACAACAAUUUGAUUCUCUCAAUGGAGGAGUAUCUG
rnacentral:lncRNA from 1 species